CCUAGACCCAGGAGUGUGUGACAAGCCUUGGUCAACACCUGAGACCCUGUCUCCAAAAGCAGUAAGAGGCAGAGGGAAGGCAAUGCUCUGUCGCCUGCCUCCUGCCGUGUUAAGUGCAAUGACUCAAUGACUGAACCUACCUUAAAGAAGCAACACAAGUCAUACAGAGAACUUCUCGGACCCAGGAAGCCCCAGGCUAAGACAGGGCUUAUGUGCUCGCAAAUGGCAUAAAAAUGGGCGAAGAAUCCGUCUGAGAUCUGUUGGGAAGCAAAAGGGAAUCAGAGAUGAAGACAUUGAGGUGUCAAGAUGAAGCAGCUGGCCAAGGUCACAUUGUUAGUGACAUUUCAACCCAGGCCACUGCACUUCAGAGUCAACACACUUUACCACCAGCAGGGCGCAGUGAGAGCAGUGCUUUGUGGGCCUGCUUGUUCUGCGGGUGCUGGCGCAGCACAAAGCCUCUUGGACUCCGUGGCCUUCACUGCGGUCUGGAUCCGCCCCCCUCCUUACACAUUCUCCAGUCUCAGUUCAGAGCAACAGAACAUGCACUAAGGCAGGGGUCCAGGGCGUGGUGUGCUUACCGUCAUCUGCUGCCUCUUCUGCUUCAGCACUGAC